GAGGAUGUAGCUCAGUGGUAAAGCACUUGCCUAGUAUGCAUGAGGCCCUGAGUUCAAUCCCCAGCACUGCA
rnacentral:tRNA from 1 species